AACGAACCGCCCUGGACGCCGUUUCACCGCAUCAAAUAACUUAUGUUUGGUUGCUGAGAAACCUAAGGAAAGUGCAAGAUUUUUCUCGGCGUCACCAUUUCCGGAUCAGCGCUGAAUCACUCCUUUAAUUAGUUGAAUCCCAGUGUUUGAUCAAUGGAAGCCAAUGAAAAACUUGAAGAAACUGUCUCAAAUGCAAGUCCAAAAUUGGUUGGAACUGUUAACUGGGGCACAGCAACAGUCGUUGGAGUGUUUGCAGGCAUGCUAUAUGGAGGUAGCAAGGAGGCAGCUGCAUCAGUUAGCAAGGAUGCAGAAGUAAUGUUGAAGCUUGGGAGCACUCCAGACAAGCGUGAACAGUAUCGAUUAAUGAGGGAUGCAAUGGAGAAAAGGUUUAUCCGAGUCACUCGUGGUUCAAUAGUUGGUGGAGUGCGCCUUGGAAUGUUCACUGCUGCAUUCUACGGUCUACAAAAUUUGCUGGCUGAGAAACGUGGUUUACAUGACGUUUUCAAUGUUGUGGGAGCCGGUUCAGCUACUGCUGCUACAUUUGGUUUAAUUUUGCCUGGAUCUUUCCGAUGGCGUGCAAGGAAUGUGCUGCUGGGAUCAGUUCUGGGUGCAGCAUUCUGCUUCCCUCUUGGGUGGAUUCACUUGAAGCUUAUAGAGAAAGCAAAUGAAGGAAAUCCGGCCCUUAAUCCUCAUUUAGAUGGAAGGGGACAAGCGAAGAGUGGUGUAGGUGCUGCGAUUGAGAGGCUUGAAGGAAACUUGAAAGCUGAAUAAACAAGCUCAGUUUUGUUGGGCAUAACCUCCUGGACAUCCCAUAGGUAAAAAAUGUAAUACAUUGGCCACACGCCUGGUUCUUUUUCUUCUGUUUUCUCAGUGGUCCAUGAG
rnacentral:misc_RNA from 1 species